rnacentral:rRNA from 1 species
AUGGACCGACACACCAUCAAUAAUCCCUACCUUUGCCACCACCUCUCCUCUCCCUCCAUUCCACCUCUGCAGUCCUGUCACGGCAGCCCCACCUACCGCACCUACUGUCACGACAGCACCACCCAACCCAGCAUCCAGCACCCAGGGACCAUCCAACCCGCCAUUCAACGCCCAGACACCACCCAGCCCGCCAUUCAACACCCAGACACCACACAACCCGCCAUCAAACACCCAGUCACCAUCCUACCUGCAACCAAACAACUCGCCACCACCCAACCCACCAACACCCAACCCGCAACCACACAACCUAACACCACCCCACCCACCGUCCACAUCUUCUCCUACACAAGACACCCUUGUUUCCAUGCUACCAGCUGUUCGUACUGUCGCCCCUAUCAAUGA